rnacentral:rRNA from 1 species
GACGAACGCUGGCGGCACGCCUAACACAUGCAAGUCGAACGGACUUAAAAGAGCUUGCUUUUUUAAGUUAGUGGCGGACGGGUGAGUAACACGUGAGCAACCUGCCUCUGAGAGGGGGAUAGCUUCUGGAAACGGAUGGUAAUACCCCAUAAAAUAUAAAUAUCGCAUGAUAGAUAUAUCAAAGAAAUUCGCUCAGAGAUGGGCUCGCGUCUGAUUAGAUAGUUGGUGAGGUAACGGCUCACCGAGUCGACGAUCAGUAGCCGGACUGAGAGGUUGAACGGCCACAUUGGGACUGAGACACGGCCCAGACUCCUACGGGAGGCAGCAGUGGGGAAUAUUGCACAAUGGAGGGAACUCUGAUGCAGCGAUGCCGCGUGGAGGAAGAAGGUUUUCGGAUUGUAAACUCCUUUUAUCAGGGACGAUAAUGACGGUACCUGAAGAAAAAGCUCCGGCUAACUACGUG